GCCUCGGCGGCAGAGGCGCAAUUAUUAGAUCAAGACCAAUCGGCUAAGCCGGCCGGCCUAUUUUGCGCUCGGUCGGUGGGCCGUUUAUCUUGGUGACUCUGAAUAAUCCAGCUGAUCGCGUAGGCCUUGCGCCGGCGACGGAUCCAUCAAAUGCCUGCCCUAUCAACUUUCGAUGGUAGGUUAAGUGCCUACCAUGGUGUUGACGGGUAACGGGGGAUCAGGGUUCGAUUCCGGAGAGGGAGCCUGAGAAACGGCUACCACAUCUAAGGAAGGCAGCAGGCGCGCAAAUUACCCACUCCCGGCACGGGGAGGUAGUGACGAGAAAUAACGAUACGGGACUCAUCCGAGGCCUCGUAAUCGCAAUGAGUACACUGUAAACAGUUGUACGAGUAUCAAUUGGAGGGCAAGUCUGGUGCCAGCAGCCGCGGUAAUUCCAGCUCCAAUAGCGUAUAUUAACGUUGUUGCGGUUAAAAAGCUCGUAGUCCGAUUUGUGUCCCGCGGCGCCGGUUCGCCGCCCGUCGGUGUAACUGGCGCGCCAGCGGGACGUCCUGUCGGACGGGCCGCCUCGAGCUCGCCCGAGCCUAUGCGUUAGUAGCUCGCCCCGCCAGGAGCGAUGCGAAGGCGCCUACGGCGCGGGCCUGCAGCGCGCGGCGGCCCGCGUAUCCCGUCGCGGUGCUCUUAACCGAGUGUCGAGUCGGGCCGGCACGUUCACUUUGACCAAACGAGCGUGCUCUAGGUGGGCUAUAAUGCCCGCAUUUGUGUGCAUGGAAUGAUGGAAAAGGACCACGGGCCUGUUUUGUUGGCCUCUUAAGGCCCGUGGUAAUGAUCAACGGGGGGCGGGAGGGGGCGUUCGUAUUGCGACGUUAGAGGUGAAUUCUUAGAUCGUCGCAGACGAGCAGAGGCGUAGCGUCCGCCAUUUACGUUUCCCGUCGAUCAGACGAAGUAGAGGUUCGAGCGAUCAGAUACGCCCUAGUCUAAUAAACUAUGCUGCCAGCUAUCUGCGGUGUUACUCGAUGACCCGCAGGUCAGCUACCGGGAAACCAGAGCUUUUGGGUUCCGGGGGAAGUAUGGUUGCAAAGCUGAAACUUAAAGGAAUUGACGGAAGGGCACCACCAGGAGUGGAGCCUGCGGCUUAAUUUGACUCAACACGGGGAAACUCACUAGGCCCGGACACCAGAAGGAUUGACAGAUUGAGAGCUCUUUCUUGAUUCGGUGGGUGGUGGUGCAUGGCCGUUCUUAGUUGGUGGAUCGAUUUGUCUGGUUAAUUCCGAUAACGAACGAGACUCUGACCUGCUAACUAGACGCUGCCCGGUAUCUCUCAACGAGCUACCGGCGGCAAAAUUCUUCUUAGAGGGACAGACGGCUCCUAGCCGCACGAGAUUGAGCAAUAACAGGUCUGUGAUGCCCUUAGAUGUCCUGGGCCGCACGCGCGCUACACUGGAGGAGUCAGCGUGUCCUCCCUGUCCGAAAGGACCGGGUAACCCGCUGAAACUCGUCCGUGUUAGGGACUGGGGAAUGCAAUCGUUCCCCACGAACGAGGAAUUCCCAGUAAGCGCGAGUCACCAGCUCGCGUUGAUUACGUCCCUGCCCUUUGUACACACCGCCCGUCGCU
rnacentral:rRNA from 1 species